UACGAAGGGGGCAAGCGUUGUUCGGAUUUACUGGGCGUAAAGGGCGCGCAGGCGGUUCUCUAAGUCCGAUGUGAAAGCCCCGGGCUCAACCUGGGAACUGCAUUUGAGACUGGGGAACUCGAGUUCGGGAGAGGAUAGCGGAAUUCCCAGUGUAGAGGUGAAAUUCGUAGAUAUUGGGAAGAACACCGGUGGCGAAGGCGGCUAUCUGGACCGAUACUGACGCUGAGGCGCGAAAGCGUGGGGAGCAAACAGG
rnacentral:rRNA from 1 species